rnacentral:rRNA from 1 species
GAUGAACGCUGGCGGCGUGCCUAAUACAUGCAAGUCGAGCGAACAGACGAGGAGCUUGCUCCUCUGACGUUAGCGGCGGACGGGUGAGUAACACGUGGAUAACCUACCUAUAAGACUGGGAUAACUUCGGGAAACCGGAGCUAAUACCGGAUAAUAUAUUGAACCGCAUGGUUCAAUAGUGAAAGACGGUUUUGCUGUCACUUAUAGAUGGAUCCGCGCCGCAUUAGCUAGUUGGUAAGGUAACGGCUUACCAAGGCAACGAUGCGUAGCCGACCUGAGAGGGGGGCAGCACACCGGGGCACCGACACCCGGCCGGCCCCCCCGGGGGAGGCGCCAGGAGGCAUUGUCGCGCAAGGCGGCAAGCCCGCAAGGAACAGCGCGGCGGGAAGGAGAAAUGUUUUGUGAUCUAAAACCUGUUUAAUUAGGAAAAAAAAAAGGUAAAAUUAACUCUGCCCCCCUUGACGGUCCCUAAUCAGAAACCCCCGCCUAACCCCGCC